UUCACUUAGUGUCUGGCCCCCCAACAGGUAUGCAUGGCUGUCAGUCAGCAUCGUGUCGUGAGAUGUAGGGUUACGUCCCGGAAUUAGGCAACCUGGGAGCAUUAGUUGCCAGCAUUUAUGUUGGGCAGCUCUAAAGAGGGACUGCCGGUGAUAAAGCCGAGACGGAAGGUGGGGAUGAGCGUCAAUGUACCUCAUGGCCCUUACGGGCUGGGCUACACACGUGCUACAAUUGGUGGUGCACACGUUGGGCACGCGAGGACAGGGAUCGUCGAGGCUNAUCUCCAAAAGCCAUCGUCCAGUUCGGAUUGCACUCUGCAANUCGAGUGCCAUGAAAGUNAGGAAUACGCUAAGAUAAAUCGCCAAGAUCAGCAUGCUGCGGUAAAUACGUU
rnacentral:rRNA from 1 species